rnacentral:piRNA from 1 species
AGACAUUUCCACUUCAGAUGUGUGUCAAGA